rnacentral:rRNA from 1 species
AGAGUUUGAUCAUGGCUCAGAUUGAACGCUGGCGGCAGGCCUAACACAUGCAAGUCGAGCGGAAACGAGUUGUCUGAACCUUCGGGGAACGACAACGGCGUCGAGCGGCGGACGGGUGAGUAAUGCCUGGGAAAUUGCCCUGAUGUGGGGGAUAACCAUUGGAAACGAUGGCUAAUACCGCAUAAUAGCUUCGGCUCAAAGAGGGGGACCUUCGGGCCUCUCGCGUCAGGAUAUGCCCAGGUGGGAUUAGCUAGUUGGUGAGGUAAUGGCUCACCAAGGCGACGAUCCCUAGCUGGUCUGAGAGGAUGAUCAGCCACACUGGAACUGAGACACGGUCCAGACUCCUACGGGAGGCAGCAGUGGGGAAUAUUG